rnacentral:sRNA from 1 species
UCUCUAAUGACUGGAGUAGCUGCCUCUA